CAACCAGCAUAUUCCUCAUAUCAUGGAUUAUUGCUGUACAUCUGCACUAGCCCAAAUAAGGAACUGGGAAAGCCCCUGCUUUUCAUAGCGCAAUGGCCAGAUUCCCAGCUACGGGUAAGUAACCACGGCGACAUGCGCCGCAACGCUCCUUUAGCAGCUUAUGCAACCCUAUGGCAAGAGGUAACAGUGGCGGUUAGAAGUUUCUAUUUCAGGGCACACGCGACUCCCUAGAUCGCGCGCCAUUAGGCAGAACUCGCGCAUUCGAGCCCUUAGCGCUGACAUCACUUCCCGUUCAGGAGGAGCGGUUCACUUCAGUGACGCACAAUCAUUUUUUCUCCUUCUCUCCAUCCUGAAGUUGGGCCGCACUGUUACCUCUAGCUCCAAAAGUAUUCCGGUUACACAGGUACCACGGGGAACGGCAAGGGAUCCCACACUUCCUAAGGCAACCUAAUUGUCCCUACUCUUGAGUCUUAGACACAUUGUACCAUGUCUGAAGACAAUCAAGAGGGUCCUUUUACCAGAGGGGCUCACGCUCAAUCCAAAGUAAGAUAUUUGGCGUGCGCUAAAUGCUACAAACGCCUUCCUUCUGCACGCAAGGACCCAUUAUGCACAGCUUGCUCCAAACCCUCUGCUGCAGCACCAUCUGAAUCCCAAAAAGUAUUGCAGUCUGACCCUGGGCCUCAGGCUACUCCCUCACCAGGCCCAAUAGCCCAGUCCUCUUCCUGCCAGGAUCCUCCAUCCUGGGCUAUCAAUUUGUCCACAGGCAUCCCCAAACUGGCAGCCUGCCUCGACAAAUUAUUGGACAAACUUGACCAUGGGGCCAUGGAAUCUAGGGCUAGACCCUCUAAGCAACCAGCCCCUUCAUUCUCAGAUGAGGCCAGUGUAUCUAAUUCCCUUAUAGCCUCUCCCUCGUGGGAUAACCAAUCCUUAAGUGACGGGGAACUUUCUAAAGAGGAGGCGGAGGAAUGUGAUGAUACUGUCCAUUCCCCACCAGAUCAGAUUGACUCCCUUAUUACAGGGGUACUCACUUGCCUAGAUCUUAAAGGUGCAGACACCAACGCUAACACUUCACAAACACUGUUCAAGCAUCAUAAGAAGUGUUAGUCCUCGUUUCCGUCUCACACUCAAUUGGAUAAUAUUAUCCAAUCCGAGUGGGAUCAUCCUGAACGACGUUUUCUGCCGAACCGUCAAUUCAAGCGUCUUUAUCCCUUUUCUACAGAAACCAUUGAGAAAUGGACGACUCCACCGGCUGUUGACGCGCCAGUUUCUCGUCUCUCUAAGAAUACAGCUCUUCCAGUUCCUGAUGCUUUCUCCUUCAAGGAUCCUAUGGACAAGAAACCGGAAGGGUUCCUACGUUCCAUAUUCGCCUCCACGGGUGAAUCCUUACGGCCCAUCUUGGCUUCGGCCUGGGUUAGCCGAGCGGUGCAAUCCUGGUCCACCACACUUGUGGAUGGAAUCAGUGCGGGAAUGCCUAGACAAGACAUUCUCAAUCUGGCCGUACAGAUUAAAGAAGCAAACGACUACAUCUCAGAGGCCUCUCUAGACGCAGCACAUGUGAUCAGUCGCACUACCGUGCUAUAGGUGGCAGCACGCCGAUCCCUUUGGCUUAAACUGUGGACUGCUGAUCUAUGUUCCAAGAAAUCCUUAACUACGAUCCCCUUCAAAGGCAAGCUUCUAUUUGGACCGGAUUUGGAUAAAAUCAUCAGCCAAGCUACCGGGGGCAAGAGUACGCUGCUCCCUCAAACCAAGACUCGCCCGACCUUUCAACGAGGCCGCUCCUUUCGCCCCUUUAAGAAUUCAGGGCAUUACUCCACCAAGAGUAACUCGGACAGAGAAUACACCAAUCAAUUUGGUUCCAAAAACCGUUUCCAAAACAGAGCUAGAUCCAAUUGGCAAGGCAAGCGCCCCCAGAACAAGACUUCUGACAAAUCUCCCAGUGCAUGACUGUUCUCAGCCUGUAGGGGGAAGAUUGUGCAACUUUCAGGCGGCCUGGAUAAGUUUCACCCAAGAUCCCUGGGUACACUACUUAAUCUCCUCCGGCUACCGCAUAGACUUCACCAGCACUCCCCCUCCGCGCUUUUUCAUGUCACACAUACCUCAUACAUCAUACCCGUUCCCACAGGAGAACGGUUUUGAGGCUUCUACUCCAACCUUUUCAUCAUUCCGAAAAAGGACCUAUCUUACAGACCGGUCCUAGAUCUAAAACAUCUCAACACCUUUAUCCGGUUCGCACAUUUCAAAAUGGAAUCUCUACGCUCUGUCAUUGCAGCCAUGAACCCAGGGGAUUUUCAUAAGUGGAUCUCAUGGCGUCACGGGCCAACCACCAGGUCCCUCAAUUCAUGGCUCGGUGCCGAGACCCGCUAGCCCUAGCGGCGGAUGCACUGACAGCUCCUUGGGAUUUUCAACUAGCCUACCUCUUCCCCCCUCUCCCUCUCAUUCCGAGGGUACUCAAAAGGAUAUAAAGGGAACGCUGCACAUUCAUCCUGAUCGCUCCCCACUGGCCACGACGGGCCUGGUUCUCAGACCUAGUGACGCUCAGCAUCGACGAACCUUGGCCUCUUCCUCAAAUUCCAGAUCUUCUGGCUCAAGGACCCAUCCUACAUCCCAAACCCAACGUGUUACGUUUGACGGCAUGGCUCUUGAGCUCUUAAUUCAACAGAACAAAGGGUUAUCCAAAUUGGUAUCUAAAACCAUGGUGACUGCCAGAAAACCUAUUUCCUCCAAAGCUUACCAUAGGGUGUGGAAUUGUUAUCGGGAAUGGUGUGUUGGCCACAACGUGCCCUUCCACGCGUAUUUCAUUCCCAAUAUAUUGCAAUUCCUGCAAGAUGGCUUAGAGAAAGGGCUAUCUCUAGGAUCUCUUAAGUCCCAACUUUCAGCUCUAUCUGUCCUUGCUCAAAGACGUCUGGCCCUCAUUCCGGACAUCCGUACCUUCCUCCAAGGGGUGGCACAUUUAGUUCCCCCCUAUCGGCAACCUCUGCCACCCUGGGACCUCAACUUGGUCCUCUCAGCUCUCCAGAAACCUCCAUUCGAACCCUUGGCUUCUAUUCCGCUCAUAUGGCUGACAUGGAAAUUGACUUUCCUACUAGCUAUCUCGUCAGCACGGCGGGUCUCCGAACUCAGUGCACUCUCUUGCCAGGCUCCCUUCCUGAUAUUUCACUCAGACAAGGCUGUUUUACGCACUAUUCCUUCAUUUCUUGCGAAAGUAGUGUCGGAUUUUCACAUUAACCAGGAGAUCACCAUUCCUACCUUCUGUCCUCAGCCAAAACAUCCGAAGGAGGUGGCGCUUCAUGCACUUGAUCCGGUGAGAGCUCUUAAGUUCUAUCUGGACCACACUAAGGAGCUUCGUUCUACCUUUACGCUGCUCGUCUUAAUAAGCAAGGGUCAACAGCUUUGAAAGCCACAAUCUCUAGGUGGAUCAAGGAAACCAUUCGUAUAGCAUAUGUGGCACAAGGUAAGUUCCGUUUCGAAUUAAGACUCACUCCACUAGGGGACUGAGUACAUCUUGGGCAUUCCGUAACCGUGCUUCCGCAGACCAGGUUUGCCGAGCUGCAACAUGGUCAUCCUUACAUUCCUUCGCAACAUUUUACCACUUUCAGGUCUUUGCAGCAUCUGACGCACUCUUCGGUAGGAAGGUACUGCAGGCCGCAGUUUCUUCCCUCCCGUUCAACAGGGGACAGCUUUGGUAUGCCCCCACGGUCCCUGUGUCCCACAGAUCUCUCUGAGAGAAAAGGUGACUUUGUGAUACUCACCGUUAAAUCCUUUUCUCUUCAGAUGUCUGUGGGACACAGGGCCUCCCUUCCCUGGAAGCGGACCCUCUGUUGUCUAUAGUCAAGGUAUAAUAAUCUGCUACUGUAUAUAGUUCUUAGUUAUCUUUGUUAUUCAAAAACUGAAGUUCGUAGCAUAUGGGGUAUAGCCCCAGGGGAGGAGUCUUCUACUUCUUCAGUGUCCUGCCUCCUGGUGGUGGAUGCUAUACCCACGGUCCCUGUGUCCCACAGACAUCUGAAGAGAAAAGGAUUUAACGGUAACAAGUAGAGCACAAAACACAGUCGUCCAUAUAAUAUGCAUCCCCAAGGAUUGGGAAGUGUGUCCACCAAAGAACCCUACAUGCAGUGGAUGUUACUGGGCACAACAGCAAAUUAAUUUUAUUGCCCCCAACAUAUCCAGAGGUUGUCUUGUUUUACCAAUAUAUGUUGAAAUUGCUCUUAACGUUUGGGGCCCUCUGCAGCUGCAGGGUCUGCUUCUUCUGUAGUUCCACCCCUGCCCACAUGACAGGCAACAGGGCACUGGGCAGGUACCUGUUAAAUGGUCUUUUGCCUACCCCUAGUCCUGGGUAUCGUUCUCCCUCUGUUGUACUCACCUCCCUCCCUUCCCGACUGUCACUUUCCCCUACCGUUAUCCUCUGCCCUUCCCCUCCGCUGCUCUCCCCACUGUUAUUGCACAUGGACACGCACAUUUGUGCACGCUCUGAGGGUAACGUGGCCCUUGAUUCCAGUAAAGGGGGAUUUGUUGUGCUCAUACUGCAUAUAGUGCUGGGAGCUGUGCCCUGAAAAAUAAAGAAGGUUUGUUGUAUUCUCACUGCAGAUAGAGCUUGGAGCUGUGCCCUCAAGAUUAAAGCAAACUUCAUGUGCUUGGAUUGAGAAAGUGGAGACACUGUGGAUGUCUGUACCAGAUCUGUGUGAGUCCAGGUGAGUCUGACUGAGGGAGAUAUUGAAACUCCAGCGUGUUCCAUGGAUGAAAACAGGGGUUGUCCGUGUGCCUGCUACGUGGGAGCAACUACUCUGUCCAACAGGAGAGUGCAUCCCUGAAUCCCACUAGGUGGAGACACUGCCAUGGAGAGACAUUCCCUGUACCCUUUUUAUUUAGCAAAGGGGAUUCAGGACCUGUGUAUGGGGAGCAACUGAUGGAAUAUCCCAUUAAUCCAGAUGAGACCGUUAUGUAUAUUCGGCAAGUGACUCAAGGAGAUGCCCCAUUGUCAUCUGAUCCAUGUUGUCUAACAAGACUGAACUCCAGCUCCCUUGAUCCACAGAAAUAUUUAUCUUCUGGGCCUUUUGGACCUGCAAGAUUCGCAAGAUGGCGACGGUGAGCUCCGCUGCGCUUCUCUGCAUUUAAGGAUCAUGUUUUCUAUGCUGGUGGUGCAACUGUUCAUCUUCUUAGCGGAAAUCCUCCCGAGGGCACAUCACCAGGUUUUGCCCUGUUCCCAGGUUUUUGAUGUGUGUGUGCCAGUGGGUGCACUGAGUAUACAGCCUUAUUGCCAUGAUGGAGGAUGCCCAGAAUGACCAUUAUAAACAGAAUCUCCAUCAUGUUAUCCCAGUGUAAGAAUGCUUGUUGCAGCAGCCAUGCCCACUGGAGGACUGUGUCUCUCACCUACAGCCUCCUCUACUGUCAUCUCUUCAGCCUGAGAAUCCUCUGGAAUGGGGCUGUAAUCGCCUGGGAGAGGACCCAUCGAUGUUUCAGAAGAGUCUUCUUCAUUCUCAGGAACUUCACUAUUGGGAAGAGGUCAUUGAGUGACAGUUCCCCUUUAUAUCUGGUGGCAAGGACUCUAAUCAUCAGGCAUGAAACAACGACUUUAUAUUUCCAUCUGUCUUACCUCAGUAUGCCGGUGCCGGUGCAGGAUGUUGCACAGUUUGGCGCCCAUCUUGACGCUCCUGUAUCAGGAAAAAAAGGUAGAGAGUCCAGUGCUGUCCUGUCUCCUAAUAGGAUUGGCCAGGUCUUUUUAUACUAAACAUCUUCCAAUACCAAGUAGCAUCGCACAAAGCCAUGAAUGGUCCCAGCUUGAAGGCAUAUCUGAGGAAGGACAUUCGGAGAGAGAGCUCCAGAUAUCGGUGCAUCCAAUGCCUUGUGGCAUCUCCAACAAAGGUUAUGAGGUGUGUCCCCUGAAACAAAACAAAGAAAGAAAGAUAGAGCUGGGAGCUUUGCCCUGAAGAUUAAAGCAAACUUCAUGUGCUUGGAUUGAGAAUGUGGAGACACUGUGGAUGCCUGUACCACCUCUGUGUGAUCCCCGUGGGGCCACCCAUAGGUGCAUCCCUGGAUCCCACUAAGUGGAGACACUGCCAUGGAGAGACAUUCCCAGUACCUUUUCAUUGAGCAAAGGGGAUUCAGGAUCUGUGUAUGGGGAACAACUGAUGGAAUAUCCCAUUUAUCCAGAUGAGACAGUUACAUAUAUUUGGCAAGUGACUCAAGGAGAUGCCCCCAAUGUCAUCUGAUCCACGUUGUCUAACAAGACUGAACUCCAGCUCCCUUAAUCAACAGAAAGAUUUAUCAUCUGGGCCUUUUGGACCUGCAAGAUGGCGACUGUGAGCUCCGCUGAGCUUCUCUGCAUUUAUGGAUAACCUUUUCUAUGCUGGUGGUGCAACUGUUCUUCUUCUUAGUGAAAACCUCCCGAGGGCACAUCACCAGGUUUUCCCCUGUUCCCAGGAACCCCUUGCACCUCUCUGGGUGAACAAAUGCACAAGAGAAAAUAUUUUAGGGGCAUAUUAUACUGAAAAUGUGCUCACUUUAAAUCCAUGCAAGGGAGACCUAGGAACAGAUAAACACAUGACAGGAUGCAGGUAACUUAAAACUUGUUCUCCUUAAAAACAUUAUUCAGGCCACCAAUGCCAUUUUUUUGGAUAUACAAAGUAAUUUUUUUAUUUUCUUUCUUUCAGCUGUAAGUAAAAAGUUAGCGUACACACUGCACUAUGUUUGAAACAACAUACGGAGAUCAAAGAGAAACCUGGGACUGCUGGCUGAGCUGUCAAAAACAGAGCAGUCCUGCGACAAACAUGACAGUUGGGAGGAUGCAGUGUCACGGGGUCGUUGUUCAAGCUGCAGUUUAAGCAUCCCGUUUGGAAAUAAAAAUUGGAAAAGAAGUUGGAGGAUAUGGCACCAUCUUGGAUUUAAUUUGCCUGUAUGCUUCUUCGCCGGGUGCUAUAAAACAAUGUCAAUUGGAGACACGCAUCUUUCUUUUUCCUUUAGCCAUGAGGGGGCCCUCUGCGAGGAAGG